UGACCUCAAAUCAGGUAGGACUACCCGCUGAACUUAAGCAUAUCAAUAAGCGGAGGAAAAGAAACUAACAAGGAUUCCCCUAGUAACUGCGAGUGAAGCGGGAAAAGCUCAAAUUUAAAAUCUGUCAGUCUUUGGCUGUCCGAGUUGUAAUCUAGAGAAGUGUUAUCCGCGCUGGACCGUGUACAAGUCUCCUGGAAUGGAGCGUCAUAGAGGGUGAGAAUCCCGUCUUUGACACGGACUGCCAGGGCUUUUGUGAUGCGCUCUCAAAGAGUCGAGUUGUUUGGGAAUGCAGCUCAAAAUGGGUGGUAAAUUCCAUCUAAAGCUAAAUAUUGGCGAGAGACCGAUAGCGAACAAGUACCGUGAGGGAAAGAUGAAAAGAACUUUGGAAAGAGAGUUAAACAGUACGUGAAAUUGCUGAAAGGGAAACGCUUGAAGUCAGUCGCGUCAUUCAGGGAUCAACCUUGCUUUUGCUUGGUGUACUUUCUGGUUGACGGGUCAGCAUCAAUUUUGACCAUUGGAAAAAGAUUAAGGGAAUGUGGCAUACAUAGUGAUGUGUUAUAGCCCUUGGUUGCAUACAAUGGUUGGGAUUGAGGAACUCAGCACGCCGCAAGGCCGGGUUUUUAUCUAACCACGU
rnacentral:rRNA from 1 species